GGAUCUGGAUCGUGAAAAACUGGGUCUUAGAUACGGUCAUUAGAUAUUCAGUAAGACUCGAAAAUAUUUUGCUGUUAAAUUAAUCACAAGAUUUUAAAUGUAAUUUGUAUCUUAUAAGGCUAACACCCAUUCAUGUAACAAA